rnacentral:misc_RNA from 1 species
GUAGGUGAACCUGCGGAAGGAUCAUUACCGAGAGACACGGGGUCUAACCGGCCCCGACUCUUCAUCCGUGUCUACAUACCAACGUUGCUUUGGCGGGCCCUGAGUUCGUCUCGGGGAGCAUCUGCUCCCGAGUGCCCGCCAAUGGCCCCCUUAUAAUUCUUGUAAUCAGUGUCGUCGGAGUAAACACAAAAUAACUAAAACUUUCAACAACGGAUCUCUUGGUUCUG